rnacentral:rRNA from 1 species
UACGAAGGGGGCUAGCGUUGCUCGGAAUCACUGGGCGUAAAGGGUGCGUAGGCGGGUCUUUAAGUCAGGGGUGAAAUCCUGGAGCUCAACUCCAGAACUGCCUUUGAUACUGAGGAUCUUGAGUUCGGGAGAGGGUGAGUGGAACUGGCGAGUGUAGAGGUGAAAUUCGUAGAUAUUCGCAAGAACACCAGUGGCGAAGGCGGUUCUCUGGGACGGUACUGACGCUGAGACGGCGGAAGCGUGGGGAGCGAACAGG